rnacentral:rRNA from 1 species
UACAGAGGUCUCGAGCGUUGUUCGGAUUCAUUGGGCGUAAAGGGUGCGUAGGUGGCGCUGUAAGUCGGGUGUGAAAUCCUGAGGCUUAACCUCGGAACUGCAUUCGAUACUGCGGUGCUUGAGGACUGGAGAGGAGACUGGAAUUCAUGGUGUAGCAGUGAAAUGCGUAGAGAUCAUGAGGAAGACCAGUGGCGAAGGCGGGUCUCUGGGCUGACACUGACGCUCAUGCACGAAAGCGUGGGGAGCAAACAGG